rnacentral:rRNA from 1 species
AUUGAACGCUGGCGGCAGGCCUAACACAUGCAAGUCGAGCGGAGCGGCGGUCGGGGGAGUAAUGCCAAGGAAUCUGCCUGGUAGUGGGGGAUAACGUCCGCUACCGGGCGCUAUUACUGCAUCCUAUUAGAAGUGCCUAGGUCGGAUUAGCUAGUUGGUGGGGUAAAGGCCUACCAAGGCGACGAUCCGUAGCUGGUCUGAGAGGAUGAUCAGUCACACUGGAACUGAGACACGGUCCAGACUCCUACGGGAGGCAGCAGUGGGGAAUAUUGGACAAUGGGCGAAAGCCUGAUCCAGCCAUGCCGCGUGUGUGAAGAAGGUCUUCGGAUUGUAAAGCACUUUAAGUUGGGAGGCGUUACCAACAGAAUAAGCACCGGCUAACUUCGUGCCAGCAGCCGCGGUAAUAC